rnacentral:rRNA from 1 species
CCUACGGGAGGCAGCAGUGGGGAAUAUUGCGCAAUGGGCGAAAGCCUGACGCAGCAACGCCGCGUGAGGGAUGAAGGCCUUCGGGUUGUAAACCUCUGUCUUCAGGGACGAAAAAAAUGACGGUACCUGAGGAGGAAGCCCCGGCUAACUACGUGCCAGCAGCCGCGGUAAUACGUAGGGGGCGAGCGUUGUCCGGAUUUACUGGGCGUAAAGCGCGCGUAGGCGGGUUAUUAAGUCAGGUGUGAAAACCCCGGGCUCAACUUGGGGACUGCACCUGAUACUGAUGAUCUUGAGUGCAGGAGAGGAAAGUGGAAUUCCUAGUGUAGCGGUGAAAUGCGUAGAUAUUAGGAGGAACACCAGUGGCGAAGGCGACUUUCUGGACUGUAACUGACGCUGAGGCGCGAAAGCGUGGGGAGCAAACAGGAUUAGAUACCCUUGUAGUC